rnacentral:rRNA from 1 species
CCUGAACACACCUGAUCUCAUCCAAUUUUGGGAGUUAAGCAGG